rnacentral:lncRNA from 1 species
AGAAGAUCAUUCACACACCAAAACAGAGGGGCCCAUAACAUCCAUAUACCCCCAGAAGCACCAACAGAUUCUUUUACACAUAAUUGCAAAGGUCUAAAACCCCAAAUAGACAUAACAUGGUAAAACAAAAUAUUAGAGAUUUUGGUCUCUUGAAUCAAAACCAAAUAUGGACGUUCUUUCUUAACUCUAAUCCAGAUCUUUCUUUAACAAUAUUUGAAAAACUUAAAGAUUUAGACCAAUCUUGCAAAGUUAGCAGGCUGCCUCUGAAUCUCCAAUGUUUUUCCUUAAGAGCUAUUUCUUUACAAUAUGAUCAGACAAAUUGAACAAAACAAAACUAUUAAGGAAAAACACAUAUCCAGGUUUUUAAGCCAGAUUCCAAUUUUUCCAGGCCCAAUGAUCUAGCCUUCUCAGAUCUUGAAUUGGAGGAGAAAAAGAGCCUAAAAGAGAUGGUCACAACCCCUAUCUCCUGAUUUUACAGAUUUCAUCAUCCACCUUCACCCACCAUUGAUCAGCUAUCUGAUAAGAAUUUUCCACCAAAUUCACACCUUCACGAUUAAUACUAACUAAAGAAUCGCCCCGAACAACCUUCGCAAAAGAUCUACAGAUAUUAGCCAUCUCUCUCUCUCUCUCUCUCUCUCUCUCUCUCUCACACACACACACAUAAAAAUGUCCCUGCCUCAAUGGUGGUAGUCCGAUAGUUCACGUCUCGCAAAAUGGAGGUCUCCUGUUUCAACAAGUUUCUUCUCAAGAAGGCAGCAACGCCCCUAAGAUCUUCAGAGACAAAAAAACUUAAAAUGGCCACCAAAGAAUUACAAAGCGGAAAAUGCACCUGACCUAUUUUGAUACGUAUAAAGUAU